UACGUAGGGAGCAAGCGUUGUCCGGAAUCAUUGGGCGUAAAGCGCGCGUAGGCGGCCCUGUAAGUCCGUUGUGAAAGUCAAAGGCUCAACCUUUGAAAGCCGAUGGAUACUGCAGGGCUAGAGUCCGGAAGAGGCGAGUGGAAUUCCUGGUGUAGCGGUGAAAUGCGCAGAUAUCAGGAAGAACACCCGUGGCGAAGGCGGCUCUCUGGUACGUGACUGACGCUGAGACGCGAAAGCGUGGGGAGCGAACAGG
rnacentral:rRNA from 1 species